AGAGUUUGAUCAUGGCUCAGAACGAACGCUGGCGGCGUGGAUUAGGCAUGCAAGUCGAACGAUCCCGCAAGGGAUAGUGGCGAAAGGGUGCGUAACACGUGGGCAAUCUGCCCCCGAAACGGGAAUAACUUCGGGAAACCGAAGCUAAUACCUGAUGACACCGAGCUGCCGCAUGGUGGCACGGUGAAAGGCGUCCGCAAGGGUGCCGAUCGGGGAUGAGCCCGCGGCCUAUCAGCUAGUUGGUGAGGUAACGGCCCACCAAGGCGAUGACGGGUAGCCGGCCUGAGAGGGUGGUCGGCCACAUUGGGACUGAGACACUGCCCAGACUCCUACGGGAGGCUGCGGUCGAGGAUCUUCCGCAAUGGGGGAAACCCUGACGGAGCGACGCCGCGUGGAGGAUGAAGGCCUUCGGGUCGUAAACUCCUGUCAGUCUGGAAGAAAAUCUGCAGCAAUGUGGAUUGACCGUACAGGCAGAGGAAGCUCCGGCUAACUCCGUGCCAGCAGCCGCGGUAAUACGGAGGGAGCGAGCGUUGUUCGGAAUCAUUGGGCGUAAAGGGCAUGUAGGCGGCUCUGUAAGUCGGGUGUGAAAUCCCAUCUCUCAAGGGUGGAACGGCAUUCGAAACUGCAGGGCUUGAGUUCGGGGGAAGAGAGCGGAAUUCUCGGUGUAGCGGUGAUAUGCGUAGAUAUCGAGAAGAACACCAGCGGCGUAAGCGGCUCUCUAUCCUGAAACUGACGCUGAGGUGCGAAAGCCAGGGGAGCGAACGGGAUUAGAUACCCCGGUAGUCCUGGCCAUAAACGAUGUGCACUUGGUGUUGGGCCGCGAGGCUCAGUGCCGAAGCUAACGCAUUAAGUGCACCGCCUGGGGAGUACGACCGCAAGGUUGAAACUCAAAUGAAUUGACGG
rnacentral:rRNA from 1 species